rnacentral:rRNA from 1 species
GACGAACGCUGGCGGCGUGCCUAAUACAUGCAAGUAGAACGCUGAAGAGAGGAGCUUACUCUUCUUGGAUGAGUUGCGAACGGGUGAGUAACGCGUAGGUAACCUGCCUUGUAGCGGGGGAUAACUAUUGGAAGCGAUAGCUAAUACCGCAUAACAAUGGAUGACACAUGUCAUUUAUUUGAAAGGGGCAAUUGCUCCACUACAAGAUGGACCUGCGUUGUAUUAGCUAGUAGGUGAGGUAAUGGCUCACCUAGGCGACGAUACAUAGCCGACCUGAGAGGGGGAUCGGCCACACUGGGACUGAGACACGGCCCAGACUCCUACGGGAGGCAGCAGUAGGGAAUCUUCGGCAAUAGGGGCAACCCUGACCGAGCAACGCCGCGUGAGUGAAGAAGGUUUUCGGAUCGUAAAGCUCUGUUGUAAGUCAAGAACGGGUGUGAGAGUGGAAAGUUCACACUGUGACGGUAGCUUACCAGAAAGAGACGGCUAACUACGUG